CCAGGUCUCAGUGCUGUGUCCCCCCAGAGCCUAGAGGAUGUUUCAUGGGAUCCCAGCCACUCCGGGCAUAGGAGGUGAGUGUGGCUGGAAGGGCGCAGGCUUUCAGCCCGUUCUGCAGGGGCUGACGGGCAGUAUUGGGUAUUGGGGAUCGGGGGUGGGGAGGUAUCUGACCCUGCUCUCAUACAGCCUUGGGGGUGGCCAGGGGCUAAAUAGUUCAUCGCAGGAGCACUGAGGGCUCAGAAACCUCCAGACAGAACCGGCUUGGUCCUGCUGGGCAGAGAUGAUGAGCUUCGGUGUGGCCAGAACGGUGGGGGUCCUGGGCACCCUGUGUCACCAAUCCCAGGGGAGAGGCUGUGUGUGGUGAGCCUUGUUGGCACUGCAUCAUGAGCCACGAGCAGGGCGUGGCCACUGUUGUGCAGGUGACUCCGCCAGGGAGCCAUGGUGGAGCUGGGGAGCUGGGCCUGUCAUGCGGUCCCCCGGGGAGCCGCAGUGGAGCUGGGGAGCUGGGCCUGUCAUGCGGCCCCCGGCUUCUCAGAGGUGUUAUCAUCAGGUCCCCCCCACACACUGAUAGGGGUGAGGUUGGAACCUCUGUGCUCCAGCUCCCUCUAGGCUCUUUGGGACCCAGCCUGGGAGGCCUCAGGGAGGAACUGAAAUGGAGGCUGGGACUGGAGUCUGCCCUUGGGUUCCCUUUGGGGCCAGCCUGCCAGCUCUCUGCCUUCUCUUGCAGCCCCUGGGAACAAGCCGGAGCUGUAUGAGGUGAGUGGUGGGUGCCCACCCGGCCGGCAUUGGCCAACAGCAAAUGCCUGUGUGGCCUCACCAGGGUCCUGCAGCCCCUGUUGGCACUGGCCCACAGAGCCCGCUCUCUCCGGCAGGAAGUGAAGUUGUACAAGAACGCCCGGGAGAGGGAGAAGUACGACAACAUGGCAGAGCUGUUUGCGGUGGUGAAGACAAUGCAAGCCCUGGAGAAGGCCUACAUCAAGGACUGUGUCUCCCCCAGCGAGUACACUGCAGCCUGCUCCCGACUCCUGGUCCAAUACAAAGCUGCCUUCAGGCAGGUCCAGGGCUCAGAAAUCAGCUCUAUUGACGAAUUCUGCCGCAAGUUCCGCCUGGACUGCCCGCUGGCCAUGGAGCGGAUCAAGGAGGACCGGCCCAUCACCAUCAAGGACGACAAGGGCAACCUCAACCGCUGCAUUGCAGACGUGGUCUCGCUCUUCAUCACGGUCAUGGACAAGCUGCGCCUGGAGAUCCGCGCCAUGGAUGAGAUCCAGCCCGACCUGCGAGAGCUGAUGGAGACCAUGCACCGCAUGAGCCACCUCCCACCCGACUUCGAGGGCCGCCAGACGGUCAGCCAGUGGUGGGUGUCCCUCCCAGCCAGGCAGAGCCCCGCAGUGCCCCUGAGGCCCUCCCAGCCAGGCGGAGCCCCCGCAGUGCCCCUGAGGCCCUCUGCCCCCACAUGCCCUGUGCUGCACUCCCAGGCUGCAGACCCUGAGCGGCAUGUCGGCGUCAGAUGAGCUGGACGACUCACAGGUGCGUCAGAUGCUGUUCGACCUGGAGUCAGCCUACAACGCCUUCAACCGCUUCCUGCAUGCCUGAGCCCGGGGCGCCAGCCCUUGCACAGAAGGGCAGAGUCUGAGGCGAUGGCUCCUGGUCCCCUGUCCGCCACACAGGCCCUGGUCAUCCACACAACUCACUGUCUGCAGCUGCCUGUCUGGUGUCUGUCUUUGGUGUCAGAACUUUGGGGGCCGGGCCCCUCCCCACAAUAAAGAUGCUCUCCGA
rnacentral:sRNA from 1 species